AAAGGUGGCUAUGCUACCGCUUUUGGAUGGGCCCGCGGCGCAUUAGCUAGUUGGUGGGGUAAAGGCUUACCAAGGCAAUGAUGCGUAGCCGAACUGAGAGGUUGAUCGGCCACAUUGGGACUGAGACACGGCCCAAACUCCUACGGGAGGCAGCAGUAGGGAAUCUUCCACAAUGGGCGAAAGCCUGAUGGAGCAACGCCGCGUGGGUGAAGAAGGUCUUCGGAUCGUAAAACCCUGUUGUUAGAGAAGAAAGUGCGUGAGAGUAACUGUUCACGUUUCGACGGUAUCUAACCAGAAAGCCACGGCUAACUACGUGCCAGCAGCCGCGGUAAUACGUAGGUGCCAAGCGUUAUCCGGAUUUAUUGGGCGUAAAGGGAACGCAGGCGGUCUUUUAAGUCUGAUGUGAAAGCCUUCGGCUUAACCGGAGUAGUGCAUUGGAAACUGGGAGACUUGAGUGCAGAAGAGGAGAGUGGAACUCCAUGUGUAGCGGUGAAAUGCGUAGAUAUAUGGAAGAACACCAGUGGCGAAAGCGGCUCUCUGGUCCGUAACUGACGCUGAGGUUCGAAAGCGUGGGUAGCAAACAGGAUUAGAUACCCUGGUAGUCCACGCCGUAAACGAUGAAUGCUAAGUGUUGGAGGGUUUCCGCCCUUCA
rnacentral:rRNA from 1 species